CUGAGAAUCACAACAGCAUCUUUGAACCUUCAGAUUUUAUACAAGAAUCCAAGUGCACUAAACUGCAGGUGCCAGAAAGACAAGCAAUUGGGUUGGAUCAGAGUUUGACCAACAGGCACUGAUUCUCAAGUUCAGAUCUCUUGAACAAGACAAAUAAAGAUCCCCUGACCUAUCAAAAGGUACAUUUUGAAACUGCUGAAUGAUCCUCACUUAUUGGCAA